AACGAACGCUGGCGGCGCGCCUAAUACAUGCAAGUCGAGCGAGAAGGUGUAGCAAUACACUUGUAAAGCGGCGAACGGGUGAGGAAUGCAUGGGUAACCUACCCUCGAGUGGGGAAUAACUAGCCGAAAGGUUAGCUAAUACCGCAUACGUUUCCGGAACUUCGGUUUCGGAAAGAAAGCAAUACCGUGGGUAUUGCGCUCCUGGAUGGGCUCAUGUCCUAUCAGCUUGUUGGUGAGGUAACGGCUCACCAAGGCUUCGACGGGUAGCUGGUCUGAGAGGACGAUCAGCCACACUGGCACUGCGACACGGGCCAGACUCCUACGGGAGCAGCAGUAAGGAAUAUUGCGCAAUGGACGAAAGUCUGACGCAGCGACGCCGCGUGGGGGAUGAAGGUCUUCGGGAUUGGUAAACCCCUUUCGGGAGGGAGAUGGAGUGGGUAACCACUUGGACGGUACCUCCAGAAGCAGCCACGGCUAACUUCGUGCCAGCAGCCGCGGUAAU
rnacentral:rRNA from 1 species